AAAAUAUUUGUUCAUGACCAAUCAAAUUUGAUUUGAUUUGGCUGGCUAGCUAGCAUAGAUAACGGUGCCGUGAAGUAAAUCCAUAUGAAUAAUAAACCCAGCUGUCAAAGGGAAUGUGCUUGAUGGCCAAUGUGAUACAAUAUGCUGCAAAGUAAUAUCAAAACGUGCAAACUACAAUUCAGGCUAUCCAUCCCAGCCCAACUCUGCUCAGAAUGGCCACAGAAGUGAAACCAUCGCCAGACAGACACCCUCCUCUCCAAGGAGAAUGCUUGAGUAUGUCAUUGUACGUCAUUGUCAAGUUCAUAGAAUUUAGGCUGUCAUUGAUCAAUGACAGACAGACAAUGUGACUAUUCACUAACUCCACCUUUGUGUCUGUGUCCAGAAAAAUGCAGUGCACACAUUUAUUUGAGUAGCUUAUUGUGAAGGUUGGCCUAUGUCACUGUAAAUAGCAUCAUAACUC